rnacentral:pre_miRNA from 1 species
GGGCAGGCUGGGACUGGUGCCCCGUCUUACCCAGUAGUGUUUGGGUGCUGGUUGGGAGUCUCUAAUACUGCCGGGUAACGAUGGAGGUCCUUUCCUAAUGACGCCUCC